GAUGAACGCUGGCGGCGUGCUUAACACAUGCAAGUCGAACGGGAAAUACUUUAUUGAAACUUCGGUGGAUUUAAUUUAUUUCUAGUGGCGGACGGGUGAGUAACGCGUGGGUAACCUGCCUUAUACUGGGGGAUAACAGCCAGAAAUGACUGCUAAUACCGCAUAAGCGCACAGAACCGCAUGGUUCGGUGUGAAAAACUCCGGUGGUAUAAGAUGGACCCGCGUUGGAUUAGCUGGUUGGCAGGGCAGCGGCCUACCAAGGCGACGAUCCAUAGCCGGCCUGAGAGGGUGAACGGCCACAUUGGGACUGAGACACGGCCCAGACUCCUACGGGAGGCAGCAGUGGGGAAUAUUGCACAAUGGGGGAAACCCUGAUGCAGCGACGCCGCGUGAAGGAAGAAGUAUCUCGGUAUGUAAACUUCUAUCAGCAGGGAAGAUAAUGACGGUA
rnacentral:rRNA from 1 species